rnacentral:rRNA from 1 species
UACGUAGGGUGCAAGCGUUAAUCGGAAUUACUGGGCGUAAAGCGUGCGCAGGCGGUGAUGUAAGACAGAUGUGAAAUCCCAGGGCUCAACCUUGGAACUGCAUUUGUGACUGCAUCGCUGGAGUGCGGCAGAGGGGGAUGGAAUUCCGCGUGUAGCAGUGAAAUGCGUAGAUAUGCGGAGGAACACCGAUGGCGAAGGCAGCCCCCUGGGAUAACACUGACGCUCAUGCACGAAAGCGUGGGGAGCAAACAGG